ACUUCUUUAUCACCGAGUGCUUGCACUCACCGAUAAAGAGUUGAGUGGCGAACGGGUGAGUAACACGUGGGCAACCUGCCCAAAAGAGGGGGAUAACACUUGGAAACAGGUGCUAAUACCGCAUAACCAUAGUUACCGCAUGGUAACUAUGUAAAAGGUGGCUAUGCUACCGCUUUUGGAUGGGCCCGCGACGCAUUAGCUAGUUGGUGGGGUAAAGGCUUACCAAGGCAAUGAUGCGUAGCCGAACUGAGAGGUUGAUCGGCCACAUUGGGACUGAGACACGGCCCAAACUCCUACGGGAGGCAGCAGUAGGGAAUCUUCCACAAUGGGCGAAAGCCUGAUGGAGCAACGCCGCGUGGGUGAAGAAGGUCUUCGGAUCGUAAAACCCUGUUGUUAGAGAAGAAAGUGCGUGAGAGUAACUGUUCACGUUUCGACGGUAUCUAACCAGAAAGCCACGGCUAACUACGUGCCAGCAGCCGCGGUAAUACGUAGGUGGCAAGCGUUAUCCGGAUUUAUUGGGCGUAAAGAGAACGCAGGCGGUCUUUUAAGUCUGAUGUGAAAGCCUUCGGCUUAACCGGAGUAGUGCAUUGGAAACUGGGAGACUUGAGUGCAGAAGAGGAGAGUGGAACUCCAUGUGUAGCGGUGAAAUGCGUAGAUAUAUGGAAGAACACCAGUGGCGAAAGCGGCUCUCUGGUCUGUAACUGACGCUGAGGUUCGAAAGCGUGGGUAGCAAACAGGAUUAGAUACCCUGGUAGUCCACGCCGUAAACGAUGAAUGCUAAGUGUUGGAGGGUUUCCGCCCUUCAGUGCUGCAGCUA
rnacentral:rRNA from 1 species